rnacentral:rRNA from 1 species
GACAGAGGCCUCAAGCGUUAGGCGGAAUCACUGGGCUUAAAGCGUGUGUAGGCGGAUCGUUAAGUGUCUUGUGAAAUCCCACGGCUCACCCGUGGAACUGCUGGGCAUACUGGCGAUCUUGGGCCAACUAGGGGCAACUGGAACAAGCGGUGGAGCGGUGAAAUGCGUAGAUAUCGCUUGGAACGCCGAAGGUGAAAACAGGUUGCUGGGGUUGUGCCGACGCUGAGACACGAAAGCCAGGGGAGCAAACGGGG